CGUAGGGUGCGAGCGUUAAUCGGAAUUACUGGGCGUAAAGCGUGCGCAGGCGGUUUUGUAAGCCAGAUGUGAAAUCCCCGGGCUCAACCUGGGAAUGGCAUUUGGGACUGCAAGGCUGGAGUGUGGCAGAGGAGACUGGAAUUCCUGGUGUAGCAGUGAAAUGCGUAGAUGUCAGGAGGAAUACCGAUGGCGAAGGCAGGUCUCUGGGCUAACACUGACGCUCAUGCACGAAAGCGUGGGGAGCAAACAGGAUUAGAUACCCUGGUAGUCCACGCCCUAAACGAUGUCGACUGGUUGUUGGGGGUUUGACACUCUCAGUAACGAAGCUAACGCGUGAAGUCGACCGCCUGGGGAGUACGGCCGCAAGGUUA
rnacentral:rRNA from 1 species